AAAAUCAUCAUUUGUGUUCUACUGAAGAAACAAAGUCACCUACAUCUUGGAUGCCCUGGGGGUAAGCAGAUAAACAUCACAUUUCCAUUUUUGGGGAACUAUCCCUUUAAAAUAUUUUCUCUUCAUUUGUAUUCUCAAAUGAAAGAAAACAAAACAUUACUUCUAAUACUACUACUACAAAAAUGUAAACAAUUUGAACUACUACACUGAUGUGAAGCUGUAUGAUUUUUAACCUUCCAUUUCUGUUCUCCUGCAGUGCAUGAGAUCUGCAUCAUCUCCAGGUAGAGCACACCCAAAGCCUCACUGCACCAAAGGGAAAACAUCUAGGAGGAUCUUGCCACGUCUGUCAAUUAGGUAUCUCUGCAGAACAAUAAGGCUGUUUCCCAAUCAGUAGGCAUUUGUCAACCACUUUGCCUGAAUUCCUUAAAUCAUAAAGGCCCACCCCAGUGGAUUAAAGCAAGUUGGGUAAAGUGGUUGAAAACCACCCGUUGUGGAUUUUACCAAUGCACAAAUGAUUGGGGAACACCCGUUAGCAUUCUGCAGAGAUACCUACUUGCACAUCUCAGACACGGGUCCAGGAUGAGAACCUGGUUGGCUUGGACUUGUCACCCUCACAUCCUGAAUCUUUCUGGAUCACCUCACAUUGUCACAGGUAAUAUCAAAGUAGCCGGUACUAACACUAACAUGCACUCCGCAGUUGGACAUAAUUAAGAGGUAACAUUUAAAUGUAUUUGUAUAUAAAAACAUCAGAUUAAUGUCUUGAAUGCAAAUUUAUUUUAAAACAGAGAAACAAAAACAUAUAUUAAACAAGCAGACAUAACAAUAAAUUAAAACAUCAAACUGACAGUUGAAAUGAGUUAUAUAAAUUGAACACACUAUUUUACUACUAUUAGACUACUAUUUACUACUGUUACUAGACUAUUUUGAAAUGAGUUUUUUAAAUUGAACACUAUUUUACUAUUAAACUACUAUUUACUACUGUUACUGGACUAUUUUGAAAAUGAAUAAUAUAUAAAUUGAACACACUAUUUUACUAUUGCACUACUAUUUACUACCGUUUAGCUCUCCUCUGAAAAAAACAAAUUAGCUCUCUGAUUCUGCAAACUCCACAUCCAGCACACGGUUGUGUGUAUGCUGGAUUUUUACUUUGGUUGGGAGUUUGGCGAUUAAAUCCACCACCCUCCCAUUGUACAGUUUUUCUGGAAUGCUGAAUUCCUCAAAAUUGCUGCAGAGGAGAGUGAGGUUUCCAUUUUCUUCGGAGACUCCAAUGAUGUCCAUGUACUCCGUCACUACUUUCCUCUCAGCAGUCUGCAUCAUAAAGAAAAUACAAUUUAUAAUCUGGCUUGACAUCUUGUUACAGAGAUUUCACUCAAAUAAAAAUUGUGAUUUACCCACUUUCAUCAAUAUUGCUAUAGCAGAAUUAAGGAAACUUUCGUUGGGAAUGUGUCAACUUGGAAUGUGUAUGCCUUGAAUGUGAUGAAAGUUUAACUUUUGAAAAACGCAUAUCAACAUCUUGCAUUUUCUCACGUUUUUAGAUGCACAGACAUGUUGUUUGAACCGGCCCUAAGUUGUUUCUACUGGCUGGCAAGUCUAUGCAGUCAUCGCACCAGCAGUGCGAACUGUUAAUACCCUUUUUGAAUCGAUUGUGGUGCUGUUAAGUUAAUUUUAAGCUGAAUAAGGCUAAUGUAACAUAGCUAAUGUGUUUUGUAUUAUAUUUGUGUACCUUCACAGCUGUGUGGGAUGAGGAAUUCAAUUUUCCUCUUCCAUUCCCCAAAAGAAAAAUUUUGAGGUGUGUGAGCUCCACCUCAUCUUUGAGGUAGAGCUCACACAGAGCCUCAUCUCUCCAGAGAGAAACUUCCAGCAGCUUUUGGCCACAUCUUAAGGUGAGGUCCAGGAUAGGGACAUGGCUGCCUUGGUUGUAUCUGCAAAAUGACAGCUUGGAAGUUAUACUGUUUCAGAAGGAAGUCAUGUUGGUUUGGAAUGACAUGAGGGUGAGUACAUGACAGAAUUUUCGUCUUAAUUUUCAUACCUUUAGCUACAGAGAGAAAUGCAUCCUGAUAACCAGAACAACUAUAAUAACUGUUGACUUCUAGAUAUUCUGUGAUAAUGAAAUAACUCACUUUUUCGAUUUCCCCUUUAAGACUCAAAUAGUCUCCCCUGGUGAAUAGGUCGUCUUCUUCACCCGUGACCAUCACAGAUGAAUAAAUUGCCUCCCUUGCAACCUUUUCCGCCAUUUCGUCCAGGUUAAGUGGUGCUGUCCGAAAUUUAUUUGAUGUCCGGCCAAAAUAAACAUUUUUGCGGCCAUAGCGUGUGCCUAAUGUUACAUUUUUAAGGAUGUAUGUGCAUCCUUCAACCAAUUCUGGCUCUUCGCCAUUUUUUGAUACUAGGUAUGAAUUUGUGCCAUCACUUACGGCACUCUGACUUUUUAUUUGAUAGUUUUCAACUUUAAUAUCUCCGUUGCUGUUUGUGAAGUUUACAGCCUUUCUGGUAGUCCUAUUGGCCACGCAUUUGCACAGGAUUGGGGCCGGGCGGCUAUAUGGGCUUUGUGUUGCCAUCCUGAGGUGCCGUCUCUGGUUGACUUGGGUCGGAGCUGUGGGUGGAGUCCUGCGCACUGAAGUGGACGUGGCUGUGCGCAGCUUUUUAACAGACUGGCUGCGCGCAUUUCCCGCGCGCUCUCUCUCUCUCUCUCUCUCUCAUUUUUUGUAAUAUUUUUAACUUGUAAUUAAUUUAAUUUAUUGAAAUGAAUGUUUUUAAUUUGUAAUGAAAUGUUUUUUUUUUUUAACUUUUAAUGAAUUGUAUUUAUUAUAACAAAUGGUUUUUAACUUGUAAUGAAUUUUAUUUAUUGUAAUGAGUUUUUUUAACUUGAAAUGAGUUUUAUUUAUUGUAAUGAAUAUUUUUAAACUUGUAAUGAAUUGUAUUUAUUAUAUAUUUUUUAACUUAAGUAUUAUAACGAAUGGUUUUUAACUUGUAAUGACUUAUUUAUUGUAAUAUUUUAACUUGUAAUGAAUUUACAGAUGAACUAUAUGUAGGCGACGAAGUGAUUCUGGGAAAGGGGAAAUUUCACUCCUCUACAUACACAUCUGUGAAGAUCCCUGAGGGCCAGGUUGAGGAUAUAGAGGUGGACAUUAUCGGGGUCUCCGAGAUUAAUGACACCUGCCACUUCCUCAGCAGCGACUCAGUUGUGUACAUUGUUCCUGAGGCAAUCUUCUCUGGAAAUCCAGAUGUGCUCAUUGACAAGCUGCCAAUGAAACUUCAGUUAAAACACAUUAACCGCAGGAUUAUUGAAAUAAGAUCAGAAAAAAGCAUAUAGAUUAGUCAUCCCUUUUUCUUUGUUUUUCCCCCCACUUUCAUAUUUGAUGUUAAUCUCAGCCAUUUGUUUUAUUUGUUGUUUAGUGUGUAUAUAGUUGUAUAGUUGUAUAUAGUUCUUUCCAAACAAUAUGACCUCGUCAAUAUAUAGGUUAGUUAGCUCACCUUUUUUUUUUUUUUUUCUUUUCUCGUUUUUAAUAUUUGAUAUUUAGAUUUAGAUUGUUCUUGUUUAGUUUGUAUAUAGUAUAUUGUAUAUUGGAAAGUAAAUUUUUCAAAGAUUUUAUUUAUUAUUUUGUGAGCAUUAAUAAGUUUAUCACAUUAAAAAUUGUGGGAAAAGAUUGUGGAAGGGUAAAGAGACCCAAUGAGUGAUAUUUCCCAGUUGUAAAAUUGUCUUGUUUUAUUCGUCUUAUAUAUUAUUUUAAACAUUGCCCAUGAAAAAUCUGGGAAUGUUUAUAUCCACUGUAGUCCUCAAUGGUACGGCAUGGGUAUCCACCACUAAGUCCAUGUUUUAUAUGUCCUUCUGAGUGCGUUUAUCACAACCCUGGUACAUACAGACGUGGACAAAAUUGUUGGUACCCUUGAUAAAUACAAACAAAAAACCUGUGAAAAUAAAUCUCCAUUUUUAAUCUUUUAGGACUUUUUAUUUAAAAAAAAAAAAAAAAAGUCAAAUUCUAACCUUUCAUUGAAGUGUAAGAAUUUAAAAUGAAUCUUAUUAUGAAAUAAAUAUUUUUCUCUGAUACACGUUGGCCACAAUUAUUGCUACCCUUUUAUUCAAUACUUUUUGCAACCCCAAGUCCUCCCCAAGAUAACAGCUCUGAGUCGACUUCUAUAAUGCCUGAUGAGUUUGGAGAACACCUGACAAGAGAUCAGAGACCAUUCCUUCUUACAGAAUCUCUUAAUUUUGUCACAAAAUAGAUGUUUAAAAAAAAAAAAAAAAAAGAAAGAAAGAAAUAUUAAAAAUAUACAAAGAUUUAAAAAUAAGAACUACAUUAUCUAAGUUAAUUUCACAAAAGAAAAAAAAAAAAGUUGAUAAAUCAUGAAAAUAUAUACAUUUUAUACUUUCAGGUCAAAUUGGACACAUUCAUAUAGUUUGAGCUUAAUGAUACAGUAUUUUGUUCUGUUUAUAGCAAAAAUUUUAAAAUGUAAAAGAAUAACUAUAAAAACAGAGAGGCUACUAGCGGAUUGUGUUGUUGUUGAUUGAGGUUUCAUGCUUGGUUCUGGGCUUCUUUUUAAAAACAUUUGAAACCAUGAAAGCCUGCUUUGUUUUUGGUCUCAAAACCCACUAGCUUUUGCAUAUCCAAAAGCUAUUUUUAAGUUUUUUUUUUCUCUUUAUGUAGCCUAAUUUGAGUGCUUAAGUCCAUUAAUGAGAGUGGAAUGCUUAAUCUAAAUUUGUAUAUCAAAAUGAACAGUUUAAAUCGUUCGGUUUACUUAAUUCGCUCACCCCAUUAAAAGUACAUAAAAAAAUCAUUUUAUUGAACACUGAAAAACGUGAAAAUGCAUUCAGUAGAAUACAUUUGGAAUAGACAAUAAUUUCUCAUUCUUUUAUUUUAAUCUUCAAUGAAAGUUAAACAAAUAGGCUACUGUACCCAUCUCUGAAUAUUUAAAUAUUAUAUCUAAAUGGUCUACUUAACUAAUGAAAAUCAGAAACGACAGAAAACCAGAAACAUGACAGUUAAAUACAAUAAUAAAAAUAUUUUUUAGCCUACAAUUUAAUCAGGCUAUAACCUAUAUAAUUGUGUUUUCAAUUGAAUGAAGAAAUGCUUUGAAUAUCUCUACAGCUUGUAUAAAUCGAAUGUCAGUUUUGACGAAUAAAUAUCACAUAUUGCACUUGCAAACAAAAUACACUGAUACAGCAUGUUUUAUUACCCGAAGACCAGGGGACAACAUUCCCAGAUAGCAGACCAACCUUGAAUCAACGUUAAUGCAUUAACCAAAUUAUCAUUGAAUCAACGUUGAAUUUUAAAUUGAUUUUUCAUCAGGUUUGCACCCUGAAAUAAUGUUAUUUCAAUGAUGAAAAAUAGAUCAAGAUGGUUGUAAAAUCAAUGUUUUUUCAACCUUAAUUAAAUCACCCAUUUAACAUUGAAUUAACUUGGAAACAAUAUCAAAUCAAUCUUGGUUUAUGUACAUGCAACCCACACCUGAGGUGUAAAUUUUAUGUUGACUCUACAACUAGACCAAUGUGCUCAGAAGACCAGGUUUGUCCAGAGAGAGAUGGUGCAACAAGAGUGAACAAAUUCAGACGUUCAAGGUUUUCGGUAAGAGCAAGUUUUGACUGUACUGAACACAAUAAUUGAUUUCAUUUAAAUGCAGUGACAUAGGAAUAUUCACGUUACACUAAUUUGUACCCUUUCCUCCUCCUUCCCAGGAAUUUGAUAGUUGUUUCACUUAUUACAAUUAAUUUUCAGCUCAGAAUUCAAUUAGGGCAAAUGUACUUUGUUUGUGUAUAAAUUGAGACUAAAUAAACUAAACUUUCACUGCCCUUUCUGUCUGGAUUACUUGUUCUUGAAUUUAACCCUAUUUAGUUUCCACUCUUUACACGUUAACAUCCAAUCAGUUUAACAUGAACAAAUAAAAUUUCAGUUAUUGGACUGAAUAACCAGUAACCACAGGGUUCAUUCACCAUAAAAUGGAAGACCUCAAAAUGAAGAAAAAUAAAAUAUAAAAAAUCAAAAUCAGUCCAUGAAUUCAGUUCAGUUCCUGGAAUGUGGUGUAAUUCACAGUCUGUGCAGUUGAUCCAGGAUUAGGACGAAUACAAAAAAAACCAAAAAAGUUUGUUGUGCAAAUCCCGUCCUACCGUUCGACG